rnacentral:telomerase_RNA from 1 species
GAGAGGAAGGUAGUAACCUAAUAAUACGUCAGCGACUGGUAUGUUUGCCUGCCCUUUUUUUAUUUUGCUUGUCAAUGUAUUUUUUCCAUUUGAGUUUUCUGUUGAUAAGCCUCAGAGUUUUGGUAGGCGCCUAGUGGUGGAAUGGUUGGGCUGGAAUCGGAAUUGAGAUGUGAUGUUAACGGGCCAUCGUGCAUCUUUUUUAAAUUUUGAGCAAUUUGAGUACGCUAGUGCCACUAUGCAUGUUUCAUGUAUACAUGUAUGCGCGGUUUCUGUUCUUGUCGUACUUAUAGAUCGCUACGUUAUUUCAAUUUUGAAAAUCUGAGUCCUGGGAGUGCGGAGCCAUGCAUACAUGUACUUUAUUGUUGCAUAGUAUUGCUAGAGUACACUUUCUCCAUGAUUGUCUGUCUUCUUUACACCAGUUCUGUUUUCUGUCUUAACCUCUUCACUAUCAUGGAAAGUUUCUACCAUUACCACACCCACACACGAACAUUAAGGCUAAUCGUUAUUAGUUCAAUCUCCAUAGCCACACUCUUUUUUUCUUCCAAUAUUUUCCGUCGCUUUCCAAGUGACAGAAAAAAAAGGAGUUUGAAUUAGGCUUGCAAAAGGGACAAUAUAUAUGAUACUGUCACUCCUAAUGUCUAAUUUAUCGUCAACUCUGUAAAGGAAGCAAGAAAGAGAAAGGUUGCUGGAAAUAAAAUUUGUACAAACAAGACGGUUUAUUCUAGUUAUUCCAUUUUUCAGUAGAUUUUUGCCUUUUACUAGAGUCAAUUUAACCAGUAUAAAAGGUUCAAGGAAAAAUCUAUUCACUGAACUUAUCACGAAACCUCAAAUGUGUCAGACGCAUUAAAAAGAUAAAUCAAAAAAACGGUAUGCAAGCGAGUCAAAAGACUGGUACUCCCUUCGUUUCCUGUCCCAUUUUGCCUCAAGCAUUGAAUAAGUUUGCGAGCGAAUAAUAACCGGGGAAAUGAUACAAGAGAAAAUCCAUAAUUUGGGAUCUUCUUGGAUGGAUUCAUUUAUGUAUUUAUUUGCUCAUUUUUGAGGAUCAAUACAAUAUUCUUGUCCUAUCCUUGCUAAAGUAAAGAACGGGCAUUAAUUUCUGAACGGAAAGAAUUGUGUGUUCACUUUAUGGUUUUCGCAUUGUACAUUUUUCAACUUGCAUGAGCAGUCGGUUUCCUCAAUACUUUUUCGGUGCUUACGAAUAAUUUUUGGAACUUCAAUU